rnacentral:tRNA from 1 species
AUCUAACUGGCUCAGUCAGUAGAGCAUGAGACUCUUGAUCUUGGGGUCACGAGUUCAAGUCCCAUGUUGGGGG